GGCUUCCGCCUCUGCCGGCGCGGUCCGCGCGGCCCCGGGGGCGCCAAGCUCCGCUGCCCGCGCGCCCACCUCCCUGGGGCCCGCCCCAUGCUCGCGCCCCCUGGCGGCCGGCCCGGCCCUGCUCGCCUCGCGACAUCAGAGGGGCGUCGCGCUCAGAACGGCCACCGGGGAAACUGAGGCACGGGGGCCCGCCCCCGCCGCAGCGCGCCGACACGGCUCGUCCGGCCUCGGCCUCACGCAGUCCUACGUGCAGCCCCGGCUGCGGACAAGUUCCUCCCCUCUUGCUGUUCCCCCACUCCCGACACCACCCUCCAACCUAGAAAAAAGUCAAAAUUCCAUUCAGAGAAGUCCAACUCGAUUCCUGUCUGCGUGUAAUGCUGUCCUCUUUGCUACCCCAAGGCAGUUUCCCUUAUUAUGCCACACAAUACUCGCUGGGGUUCGCCUCUAUCUGUCCCAUUUUUUUCUGAGGAAAGUCUCUCAGGACAUCUUUGAGAAUUUGAGAGCAAGAAAUGACAGAAAGCAAGAACUGGGCAGGGCUGAGAGAACUCCUCCAACUCAGUUUCUGAAUCCCCGCAGUAUUCCCGUUGUUUGUUAAAGAUCACGAAGUUACACAGCUUGGCUAUGUUGCUGGAAUUGCUGCGCCUCACGUUUCUGCAAUCUACCUAGGGGAUUCUGAAGAAGGCGCAAAACUUCAGAGGGCGAAGAGGACGUUCACCUGACCCCAACAGCAACCAGAACGGUACAAGUUAUACUCAGUCCUUGAAAGAACUAAGAAGACAAUUCACUCCACACAGCUUCUAUGUCAUGUGGUUUAGAUAAGGAAUCUAGGCUGAUAAAGGCCAAAGUGAGGGAUGGCCUUCUCUGAAUAUAGAGAUAGUUGGGGAAAUCCCCUCUGGGGAUGUAACAUUUACCUGAAACUUGAAUAAUGAGAAAGAAUCAAGCCGGACGUGGUGGCUCAAGCCCGUAGUCCCACGAUCUGCAGUGAGCCGUGAUGGCACCACUGCACUCCAGCCUGUGCGACAGAGUGAAACCCCAUCUCAAAAAAAGAGAGAAAGAAUCACCAUGUAAAGAGCUCUUCAGGCAGGAGAAACUGCAGGUGCAAAAUCUUGAAGUAGAAAGCCAUCUAGUAAGUUUCAGAAACACAAAAUAAGCCAUGUGAAGCAGGGAGGCAGUUUUAUGAGAUGAGAUUAGAAAACAAACAGGGCCAGGUGCAGUGUCACGCAUCUGUAAUCUCAGCUACUUUGGAGGGUGAGGUGAGAGGCUCACUUGAGCCCAGGAGUUCAAGACUGCAGCACAUUAUGAUUGUGCCUGUGAAUAGCCACUGCUCUCCAGCCUGGGCAACAUAGCAAGACCCUGUCUGUUAAUAAUAAUAAUAAUAAUAAUAACCAUCUUUUUUUUUCUUUUUUUUGAGAUGGAGUCUCGCUCUGUCGCCCAGGCCGGAGUGCAAUAGUGUGUGCAAUCUUGGUUCACUGCAACCUCUGCCUCCCAGGUUCAAGUGAUUCUCCUGCCUCAGCCUCCCAAGUAGCUGGGACUACAGGCAUGCGCCACCACACCCGGUUAAUUUUUAUAUUUUUAGUAGAGAUGGGGUUUCAUCAUGUUGGCCAAACUGGGCUUGAACUCCUGACCUCAGGUGAUCCACCCUCCUUGGCCUCCCAAACUGCUGGGAUUACAAGCAUGAGCCACUGCACACGACCAAAUAAUAACUAACAAACAGUAUGUAGGUCAUUCCUGGUUUGGUGAGCCAUGGCAAAGAGAUUGAUUUUUGUGAUAAGUUGAUGUAUUGAGACAUGAUUAAAAUAUCCCCAAAUGAAGGUACUGAAAUGAAAAUAAACAAACGAGAUAAAUGUGUGUGGAACUGCCUUGUUAACAAUAAGGAUUAUAUCUGUAUAUGUCAUAUUAAAACUAAAAAGUACAUUGUUUUUCCCCUUGAAUAAUCCUCAAUAAACCAAAACACAGAAUGGCUCAAUUCA